rnacentral:lncRNA from 1 species
GUCGGAGCUUCCCGGCUGCUUUGUUUACCUAAUGAAGCCUGGGCAAUGGCGGGCGCCCCUCCCCCAGCCUCGCUGCCGCCUUGCAGUUUGAUCUCAGACUGCUGUGCUAGCAAUCAGCGAGACUCCGUGGGCUUAGGACCCUCCAAGCCAGGUGUGGGAUAUAAUCUCGUCGUGCGCCGGUUUUUAAGCCUGUCGGAAAAGCGCAGUAUUCCGGUGGGAGUGACCCGAUUUUCCAGGUGCCGUCUGUCACCCCUUUCUUUGACUCGGAAAGGGAACUCCCUGACCCCUUGCGCUUCCCAAGUGAGGCAAUGCCUCGCCUGCUUCGGCUCACGCACGGUGCGUGCACCCACUGACCUGUGCCCACUGUCUGGCACUCCCUAGUGAGAUGAACCCGGUACCUCAGAUGGAAAUGCAGAAAUCACCGUCUUCUGCGUCGCUCACGCUGGGAGCUGUAGACCGGAGCUGUUCCUAUUCGGCCAUCUUGGCUCCUCCCUCGGAAACAUAUCUUAAAGCCAGCGUUGUCAAGACACCUGAUCUGCAACGGACCAGACACAUUGUUUCUUUCAAUGAUUUGGCUUUGAAACUAGACCUCUAGUUACUUCAUGUGGCUGAACAUGUAGACCUGGAGGCCAGAGGCUGCCAUGAGUCAUGGGUGAGGAGUGGAGAAAGGCCUGUCUGCAGAGAGAGAGAGAGAGAGGAAGGGAGUAGACGGUAGAAAGAAGCCAAGAUGCAGUUUAGAGAGAUUAGAAGACAGCUGACCUCCAGGAUGCUUCCUGGUGUGCAGUCCAGUUGCAUUCUUGGCCUUCAGUUUCAUGAAGAAUUCUCCAUCUAUAUAACUAAUGCUGUUUUCAUUUAACGUAGCAGAGAAGCAUCCAAACACCUUAAAGACUCCUGGUUCUCAUCAGCGAUGAUCUCAAAUCAAGUGCACAAGUCCACUGCCAUCACCCACAGGCCCCUGCCACUCCUUUGUGGCCUUCUGUUAUUCUAUUGCUGUUCUAUUUUUAUGCAGUGAAACUCAAUCUCCAUGUGUGUUUCAACCAGUUAAAUUUUUGUUAACAUUUGGAACACCGAACGGUUCAUUUUCUUUAGUUAUGUAAAUUUGGAAUUAGUCUAAUUUUAUAGUUGUGCUGAACGUUUAAGAAAUAAUUGAUUAAUUCAUUUAUUUCUAACCCAGGUUUUGAGGGAUGUCUCUAAAUCUGUGAAGAAUAUUUGAAAUGGUUUGUGCUAACUCAUGUUUAAGAAAGAUUAUCAUUAGCAAACUAACAAAGCAACAGAAAACCAAAUGCUGUUAUGUUCUCACUUCUAAGUGGGAGCUAAAUUAUGAGAACACAUGGACAUAUAGAGGGAAAUGACAGACACUAGGGACUAUUAGAGGGUGAAGGGUGGGAGGAGGGAGAGGAUCAGGAAAAAUAACAGAUGGGUACUGGGCUUAAUACCUGUGUGAUGAAAUAAUCUAUACAACAAACCCCUAUGACACAAGAUUACCUAUGUAACAAACCUGCACAUGUACCCCUGAACUUAAAAUAAAAGCUUAAGAAAGAAAAAAGUGAUGUAAUGUUUCUGGUAUCAAUUGAGAUAGAAUCUCAGAGCAAAGGAAAUCACUGCUUUGGUCUGGCUCAGAAACUGGUCCUUGAGGAUGAUCCACAGAAAUUUCCCAAAGUAUUUUCCCGAGAACUCUUGUUUUCAAGGAUGUUAAUGGUGUAAGGAAUAAAGGCAUUGCAUGUUCAGACAUGCUGUGCUGCAAUACUGAAUUUAAAGAGAGUUAAGCUCUUUUCUUCAUUAAAUAAUUUUUUUCACAAGCGAUUUUAUAUAAUGAUAUAUAUUGUGAUUCUCUAAUCUGUGUAUAGUUUAGUAAUUCCUAAACUAAUUAACCAUGGAAUCUUUUUUC